rnacentral:rRNA from 1 species
CCUACGGGAGGCAGCAGUGGGGAAUUUUGGACAAUGGGCGCAAGCCUGAUCCAGCAAUGCCGCGUGAGUGAAGAAGGCCUUCGGGUUGUAAAGCUCUUUUGUCAGGGAAGAAACGGUGGGAGCUAAUAUCUCCUGCUAAUGACGGUACCUGAAGAAUAAGCACCGGCUAACUACGUGCCAGCAGCCGCGGUAAUACGUAGGGUGCAAGCGUUAAUCGGAAUUACUGGGCGUAAAGCGUGCGCAGGCGGUUUUGUAAGACUGUCGUGAAAUCCCCGGGCUCAACCUGGGAAUGGCGAUGGUGACUGCAAGGCUAGAGUUUGGCAGAGGGGGGUAGAAUUCCACGUGUAGCAGCGAAAUGCGUAGAUAUGUGGAGGAACACCGAUGGCGAAGGCAGCCCCCUGGGUCAAAACUGACGCUCAUGCACGAAAGCGUGGGGAGCAAACAGGAUUAGAUACCCUGGUAGUCCACGCCCUAAACGAUGUCUACUAGUUGUCGGGUCUUAAUUGACUUGGUAACGCAGCUAACGCGUGAAGUAGACCGCCUGGGGAGUACGGUCGCAAGNUUAAAACUCAAAUGAAAUUGACCGGNGUGAGAGAGCGACGACGACGACGAGGGAGGAGG